UAUGUGAUAGUUUAUUGUAAAACGUAGGUUUUUGAUGCCUAAAAAGAGUAUUCAAAAUACUUUUACAUAG
rnacentral:tRNA from 1 species